rnacentral:lncRNA from 1 species
UUUAUUUCAGAACUCCCCAAGUUGGAUGUAUGGUGACUUAGUCCCUCAAAUGACUGUGACUGGUUCAGAGACUUGAUGAGUCUUCAGAUGACUUGGUGGCACAAUGACCUGCAUUCAUGCAUUUGCAUCAUUAUCAUUUCGCAUUCAUCUGCAUUCAAUCCAUGUCUAUUCGUACUCAGGGUCCAUUUUUCAUUAAGAUUCUGGUUGAGAGACAUCAGAUGUCAAAAUGUU